rnacentral:lncRNA from 1 species
UAAUCUACAGAUGUACAUGUGUAGAUGUACAGUAAUCUACAGAUGUACAUGUGUAGAUGUACAGUAAUCUACAGAUGUACAUGUGUAGAUGUACAGUAAUCUACAGAUGUACAUAACAUUGAGACCAAUGUCCUCCUACAUACGAGGACCUCGCUGGAACUCUUACCACUGACGGGUUUAUCAAAGUUUUAUCACAAGUUGGGUUUAGUAAGACAUACAACAAGACCAUGUGUAUGUUUGUGGUUUGUAUAAGUUUUUGUGUGUUGGUUGUAUGAUAAAUAUAUCCAAAGGUUACUUGAUCAACCGGGCUGUGACUUUAGGCUGUGAGCAGACGUGUCUAACAGCCUGGAUGAUCAGACCAGCAGCCAGGAGACAUGGUCGGUGACCAGACCAGGAGACAUGGUCGGUGACCAGACCAGCAGCCAGGAGACAUGGUCGGUGACCAGACCAGGAGACAUGGUCGGUGACCAGACCAGCAGCCAGGAGACAUGGUCUGUGACCAGACCAGCAGCCAGGAGACAUGGUCGGUGACCAGACCAGCAGCCAGGAGACAUGGUCUGUGACCAGACCAGCAGCCAGGAGACAUGGUCGGUGACCAGACCAGCAGCCAGGAGACACGGUCGGAGACCAGGGGUCAUGGUCCCCAGAACUACCAACUGGUAGACUACAAGUGGGUGGUAUGAAUGUGUAUGAUGGUGAGUUAAAGGAUCUCUUGUGUCGACGAUGGGUCACAAUAACGGGGCUAAAGUAUGUUGACCAGACCAUUCCCAAGUCGAUUGUCACAAUCGACUUGAGAAUGGUCCAGGACGGACCGAAACGUCGUCGUCCCUUCACCUUCUAUUGUGUGGUCUGGUCUACAAAUUUCUUGUGUCCAUUGUAAGAAUGAGUUUUUAUGCUGUAGUAUUAAUGAACUUUGGUACGCAAGUGGUAUGGAUGGGUUUUGUUAUAUUAAUGAUAUCUAUAAUUUGUUUAUACUGGAUAUAUGAACAGAUAUGGUAUGCUGAUGGCAUGAAUAUGUUUUAGUAUACUGGAGGUAUGAAUGAGUUUUAGUAUGCUGGAGAUACCUUCCUUGAGGUUGUUUCGGGGCUUAGCGUCCCCGCGGCCCGGCCUCUUCAUUGCUGGACUGGUCAACCAGGCUACUGGACGCCGCUGCUCGCAGCCUGACAUAUGACUCACAGCCUCGUUGAUCAGGUAUCCUCUGGAUACCUGAUCAUCCAGGUAUCUCGAGUGUUCAUGAGUGUUUUGUCAUGAACACUGUGAGAGGUUGGCCAGUUAUGCCCCUUAUGUGUACUGAAAUAGUAUAAAUAUAGUGGAAGGGAUAGAUAAGCUGCCUUCCAGUCUGUAGUGGAAGGUAUAGAUAAGCAGCCUUCCAGUCUGUAGUGGAAGGUAUAGAUAAGCAUUUGUUUGCUGAUUUUAUGAAUAAGUUUUGGUAUGAACUUGAUAUAUUAGCAUUUUCUACACUUUAUUAUCAAUAUGACUUUAUUUACUAUUGUUUAUUGGAUCACUAUUAUUAGUCUUGGCUCUUUAUUUGUUAAGGGAUCUUAGUUAUUGUAACAUUUUAUUAAGGAUUUUAGGCAUUGAGAAUUUUUGUCUGACUUUUAGGCUGCCUUAACCUUAUUAUCCUCAAGAUUAAACAGGAGCAUAUAUACAUCUUUGAUAUUUUAAGUUGCUUAAUGUACAACUAAAUACAGUAAGUUGCCUAUUGCAAUUUACCAUAAUGCAUUAAGCAGCUUACUGUAUAUAUGUUUUUUAGUAUUAUCAGUAUUCUUUUGUAAUACCCUUUUGGGCACUUACUUUAUUACAGUAAUUAACGUACUGUACAAGAUAUUUCAUACAGUAUGCAGCUUACUGUUCAAGUAGUUUAAUACAGCAAGUGUCCUUCUGCACACUUAAAUGUAUAAUUACUUUAGUAAAGAAACUGCAAUAUGUACACCUCCUUUGAUACAGUAAGUAGUACUGUACUACGCUUUUUAUAGUUCAGUACUGCAAGUAUUAAAGUAAAUACAUGCAUUAUCUGUAAUAAAGCAACAUAUAAGUUUAAACAAUUUAAACACUUGUAUUUUCACUCAUUCUCUGAGGCCUAUUGUUUGGAGGUAUUAACUUGCUAGUGGUAUAUGAUAUGACUUUUUCAACAGAAACAGAGUAAGACAAAUCCGAGUGGUAAACGUUGUCAAUGGUCCUUAGGACUCUGGCCUGAGACCUGUCUUGUUUACCGUAUAUAUAAACCAUGUUGAUACAACACUCAAGUGCAACAUUACCAUAGUUGUCAAUGGUCCUCAGGACUCUGGCCUGAGACCUGUCUUGUUUACCGUAUAUAUAAACCAUGUAGAUA